GUGCUCACUUCAGCAGCACAUGUACUAAAACUGAACGAUACAGAGAAGAUCAGCAUGGCAAGGAUGACAUGCAAAUUCAUGAAGCAUUCCAUAUUUUU
rnacentral:snRNA from 1 species